rnacentral:ncRNA from 2 species
AGGUCGGAAAGGCUCCCGACACACUCGUAAGAGUACCUGAGAUGCUGGAUACGCCGCCCAGC